AUGUGAGCCGGCUUAGCUC
rnacentral:tRNA from 1 species